rnacentral:piRNA from 1 species
UGUCAAAAUUAUUGGAUGAUCCUGGGUAGC